CAUUGCAGCCAGACAUGGAGACCUUACCAGCAUCGGGAUCUUCUGUGUGGAAGGAGCUCAACCACUGCCUUGGGGACCAACCAGGCCUGGGGAGAGAAUCGUAUUUCCAUUUUGCAGAGGGGACUCAUGGUACACAGGAAGCUCUCCUGGAAUUUCUCAGAUAACCGUUACCUGUAAGACGGAUUGUAGAGGACGUGCAAUGGCUCAUCCCCAGUUUUCUCAGUCAGUCUUAAAGCAGCCUCUAGCUUUUGCCAUUGGUUGCAGCUUGGAAGACACCGAAUUUAAGGAAAUUUUCAGCUGACCCUGAGGAAACUCUAAGCGAUACAUGGCUUGUUUAAGUGAGUCAAAAGAGCACAAGCUACAUCUGGAGUGGCAAUGUAUACAACUGAUAUGUUAAUGGCUGGAGCUGGGGGAAAAGGCUUGGAGAGGCAGCAGUUUUAAUACCAACGCUGCCAAGGACUGAAAUCACUGAAUCAUGGAGCCAUUUAUGCUGGAUGGGACCUCUGUUGGUCUUCUUCUCCAAAACCUUACUCAAAGCUGAGUUAUCUGAUCUAAUUUCCAGGUUAUCUCACCGUCCAUUGAAGAAUAUGAAUGCAGCUUUGAAAAUGGAGUUUUAUGCUCAUUUUGCACACCAGCCAAUUGAUACCUCAAGUAACCUAAAUGUACUGGCUUAGAACUGUAGAUUUCCUAUCCUGGCUCCCAAAUUUGUGCUCUCCCUGCUAUGCAUUCUGCUUAUCUACAGUAUAAUUGCUCAUUAUUUAUAUGAAGAAUCCUUGUGAUAAAGUGCCCAUUGAAGAAUUAAAGUGGUCAUCACU
rnacentral:lncRNA from 7 species